AAAAUGUCCAAAAUCAAUAUUAACAUAAUGUAAAUUUAGGUAAUAUAUUUCAACAUCAAUAACAUGAGAAUAGCUUAUACGAAAUACUUAUUUCUCGAGUCCAAUGAGCAUUAUUUAAUACGAGCUACACAAUAAACCCAAUAUUUGUAUACUAAUUCUAGUUCUAUUGAAAAAUAAAUAUUUAACCCAAUUAAAAUUGGAUUUAAUCAUAUAUCACUUUAGUCCACAAAUAUAAAAAUAUAGCGAAUAAGUUUAUUUUAUACAAAAUUUUCGAGGCGUUACACAGUGUUGAAAAUCCAUCCCGACUUCAGCUACUUGAAUCAAGUUACUCCAAUUGAUUUCACCCUUUGCCCCCAACAUGAAACUCACUUCAUUUUGCACCACGAUCAUCGUCUCAUCAAUUGUUGAUUGAACUAAUAUCCUUGUCGCUUGAUUUACCCAUUUUCCCCUAAAACACGUCAUUGGUCCACCUUCGAUAAUCAAUGGGUCUCGUCCUGAGCUUGACUCUUGGAUCACAUCACAACAAGAAGCCUAUGUAGCAUCCCAUGGGAAUGGCAUCCCACACGAAGCUCCUCUCCUACGUGGCAAAGCCCAAAUAUGAAGCUUGCUCGUCGAAGUAGUUGUAGUUUGGAGUUCAGUCUGAAGCUUGUUUGUGACUCAUUUCCUUUGAAGAUCUCCACUUGAUAUACUCUUAUUCUAAUGAUUUAUGUGACCCCUCUAAUAAUUAAAAUAUCAAAAUCUUAUCAACAUAGGUUGUAGAAUGACUACCUCUUUAUGAGCACUAAAUAUGUCCAGACUAGAAAGGUCAAACUGAAGCCUAGUACAGGAAGAAGAUGAAGCCAUGUGCUUCCUCAUUCAAUGAAUACCAUUUCAUAUGUAACAUUAUAAAUAACCCUUCCUUGUAUCCUUUGAAGGGUAAUGCAAAAUCAAACAUUGAAGAGUAUAGUUAAUGCUUCUCUCUACUUUGUUAUUCUCUGUUACUUGAUUUAGAUAUUUAACCUUGAGUUUAUGCUUUCUUGAUUAUUCUUUACCAUACAACCCUAUUUAUAUAUAUUGUCGGUGCCCAAAUAUCUUUAUCUCGCGUUGUAAAGCUUCUCCUUCACUCAAACCCGAAAUAUGAUUGACUAGUAAUCCGUUUAAGCGUGUUGAAAUUAGCUUGCAUAGAUGCGAGUGGACCUAGUAUUGGGCCCAAUAUAUGUUUUUUAGGUGUGCUACAAAAAUCGAGGUCACAAAAGAAAACUCUAUCCAUAAUAGUCGAACAUUAAUCUAUGAGUUAGUAAUAUUAAAAAUAUAUUAUGUUCUAAACUUAUAAAUAUAAAGUAAGAAUAAAUUUCUCGAAUAGCAUCCUAGUACUAGAUAGGAUUAGAGUGACGAUGAUUGAUGAUAAGUGCAAUGGUUGCACUUAUUUAGACCACAUUAUUAAACUUUUUAUGUCUUUAAAUUAUUGAAUUUAAUUUAAUUUGGAUUAAUUUUUGUUUAUUUCAGUAUUUGACCCGUUUUGAAGCAAUUGAAAAGGAAAAGGAUCAAUUGGGCAUUAAAUUGAAGUUUACGGACCAAAGCUUACUUGAAUAAUAGUUGGAGGAUCAAAAUUGAGGAAACAAUGAAGAAAAUGACUAAUUUGCAUUAAUUGUAAUGAAGUAGGGCCUUGGAAAAAAAAUUGCAACUAAAUUGGGUCUCAACUUGGUGGUUUAGGUUAUAUAUGUAGGAUAUAUACACACACACGCAAUGAGAGGAGAGGCAGCUUGGAGUUUCUUGAAAAAAAAAAAAUUAGGCGGCUUUUCACUUCAAAUUGGAGAAAAUCAUAGGAAAGGGAGCUGCUGAGGGAUUUUAAUAGAGAGAGAUACAAUUCAGCAAGAAGGAGGGCGAAGAGGAGGAAAGAACACGACUGCAAAUCUGGAGAAAAUUGCAGAAAUAAAACGGCUGCCAUUUUAUAUAUUACAUACGCCAACUAGAGGAGAGAAAAAGGCAGAGUUUGCUGGGAAAUUAAUAGACAAAAACCACAAAAGGGGCUGGCUGCCAAUUGGUUGAAAUUAUACAAACAUUGGGGCUGACUAGGCUGAUUUUUAUAUAUAUACUACACAUACAAUUUAGACAGAAGAUAGAGAGAGGAGAAGAAAGUGAGGGCUGCUUGUAGAAGCUGGAAUUGAACUCCUCAAACAAUGCAAUUGGCGGCUGUUGGAAGAAAAACAAGAAAAGUGGGCAGCUUUGAAGAAUUUGGUGGCUGCAAGUGUUUUGGCAGAAGACAAAACAUUCAAGGCCUUGUAUUGGAGCCAAUUUUGGGGAUUUAUAUGCAUAAAAGGGAGACUAACCUAAUAAGAAAAAAAAAGUAGCUGCCAACUCACUGGAAUUGCACACACACGCCAACAUUGAAGGAAAAAUUGGGCUGAAUUUUAUAUAUAUACACACACAUAAUUUGAAGCAGCUUUGAGGGGGGAAAAAAAAGAGAGAGCUACUUGUUGUUGGAGAAAAACAUACACGCACAGAGGCUAAGAAACAUUGAGGAAUUAAUCACUCCCCGUUAAUUUUUGGUGAUCUCCUUCCUCUUUUAUAUGUCUAAUUCCAACAUUAUGCUAGGCUAAGUCUUUUUAGUUUUAAUUCGAGACCUAUAUUCUUAUCUUAAUUCUUGUAUUGUGAUUCCAUUAAUAUGCAUAAUUAUAUUGUUUUAAUAUUUGCGUACCAUUAGGACAAUGAUUUUCUUAUUCUUAGUGUUGAAAAACUCACGGUGGGUAGAACACUAUUAUUAGGACACACGAGCAAUAAAUGUUAAGGAAUAAUAUUUGUGGCUUGUGCGAUCAUAUGUGGUAAUCUCAAAUGUCAAUGCAUGUUUGCCAUAUGAAUUCGGACUAGCAAUAUGAUCGUCUCGUGAAAAUCAUAGAUUUAUUAUAUCUUGGAAAAAAUAAUAAAUAAAAGUAAAAUUAUCGAUCGUCGCAAUUGCAUGAAUUAAGAUAAUUAUUAUUGAUUGAGAAUUAGAACUCAGUGGAGUCCGAAAUCCAAUACGUUCACACAUUUGAUUUUUAAACCAACUUUCAUUGUUUUCACAAGUUUUAGUUAUAAAAAUUAGAUAGUUAUUCAUUCGAUCGUCUUUUGUUUAUAAACAUGAGUUUAAAUAUAUCAAAUAUACUAGAAUUGAUCAUUAUUUCCUAUGGGACGAUAACUCUCUCAUCACGAUUAUUACUUGUACAAUGAACCUGUACGCUUGCCUGAUUUUGAUGAACAAUUGAAUUACUUUUGAUGGUCAUGUUUUAUUAAUUAAUUAUUUAAGAUAAUGAUAUUUAUAGUCGCUCACUAUUGUAGUCGUUAUAUGUGGCAUACAUGUGGCGGUUAGUGAUUUGAUACAUGAAUUAAUAAAAAACUAUCAUAUUAAUAUAUCAAAUCACAAAUCGUCAUAUAGGAUGCCACGUAGGACGACUACCACAUUGAGCAACUAUGAAUAAUAUUACUCUUAUUAUUUUUUGGAUACAACUUAAAUCAAAAACACAUGAAUAUGCAAGUAAAAAGAUUCAGGAUGGGUGGGUUCGAAGAAUUUGGAAGCGGGAGCUAGGGGUGGGCGUGGGUUGGGUUGGGUUGGAUCGAUUUUUUGUCCAAUCCAAAUCCGACCCAAUAUGAUCGAUUUGAUCUAAAAUCAACCCAACCCAAUUCAAUCAAGUUUCGAUCGGGUUGGUCGGUUUAGAUUUCAAACCAAAAAAAUUUGUUGGACAAUAAAAACCAUAAAGAAAAUUGCUUCAAAACAAUCAUCCAAGUAUUCAUUCAAAAGUCAAAACCGUAAAUGCCCAAGUCAUAGGUACCACACAUAUUUCAAACCAAUUGAACGAGAAUAGAAAACACAUUCUAUUUCCAGUAAUUUUCCUUUCACAGGGUAAUCAAAUCAACUUCGAGAUACAAAUAUAUGGCCUAUUCUUUGAAAUAAUAUUCACCUCAAAGUAAUGCAACAUAGGCCAAAUUCUCACUCAAUCCCAUGAGUAAACAUUGAAACCCCGAACUUGUCAACAUUCAUAGAAGAAAAAGGAAAGCAUUCGUUUCAAUCCCAACUAAUAGAAAUAAACGCAGCCGGACUAACAAAGCAAUAAAUCCACGUACCUUGAAGGAUCCAGUCUAUAUUCCUAAAAGCUAGAAAUUAAAGAAGUGGUCUUUGUACCUUCUUAAUUGUUAUAUUACCAAUCAGUGAACUUAAGAGAACAUGGUGAUCCAUGGAUACAGAUUUUCACAAGUUGCAAGAGUAUAUCACAAUUUCUAACUGAUAACAUCAUUGCCAAAAUAAACAAACUCACAUAUACUGCUGGAAAAUGAAAAUGAUAUUAAUUGCAAACAGAUUAUUACCUCCAUUCUAUAUCGAAUUCUCCACAAGGAACAAUAGCGACUUGUGAUUCUCAACCCCUACGUUCCCAUUGUAGGUAUUAAUGAGAUGUGAAUAUGGCAAUAUCACAUCCUUAACAAGUGAUGCCUGAUUGCGACCCAACCUCCCAAAAUCCGAAACCAAGAGCACCCCGUUCCUCACCCUAUCGAUAACUUUGUAUAAGAUUUGGGAUCCUCACAUAUGAAUAGAUGAACCCACCCAUUAUUCCUCUUCCGGUACACUUGCUCCUCCAACCAAUCCAUCAAACCCUCUUACAUCUGAAAUUGCCAAUAAUAUAAGAACACAUCUUUUUGCAACACAUCGAUUGAGGGAACUUAUGCACAAAAUCGAGAAAGAGAGUGGGGAGGCACGUUAGACUGCUAGUGCGCGAUGGAAGAGAGAUGCGGGUUGGUCGGUGAUGGUGGUCGGCCAUAAUUGCCAUCUCGGUAUUCAAUGGAAGACUCGAAUUUUGGUUUGGGUUUAAGUUUAGGGCUCCUGUCAUUUGGUUUUGUUUUAUAUAUAUAUUCAAAUUUUCAUUUUAACUAAGUGGGUUGGGUUGGGCGGGUUAUAUCGAUUUUGAUGGGUUAACCCAUAACCCGACCCGCCUAAGAAACACAUAACCCAAACCCACCUAAAAAAAAUGAAAAAACCAACCCAAACCGAUCGAGUUGGUUCGGUUCGGUCGGGUUUUGCCCAUUCCUAGCGCGAGCCAUGUUGUCCCUCUCGUCUUGUGUCCCAUUCAGAGCGGGUUGGGAGCAUUGUCGACAACCAUCAGUCGAGUUAUUGCAGUUAUUAUUGAUAGUAUAUUAAUGAUGUUACCAUUACUAAUAAGAGAUGUAAAUUAUUGAAUUUGCGUGACAUAGCUUUUUAACAUUUAGCUUAGCUGAAAUUUUAUGUUGCGUGUUGGUAAAGUUUAAUAAAAUGGUCAAAUACAUAUUUUUUUUACACUUUUUUAUGCAUUCAUAAUUUAUUAUUCACAUUUAAUUUAAGAUCUGUCACGUAAGUUAUAGUGUUUGUUUGGUAAAGAUUUUGUUAAUUGAUUUUUUGACCGUUAGAGAUAAAACGGGUCCUAUCUGUGAG
rnacentral:lncRNA from 1 species